AGUUCGGAUUGCAGGCUGNAACCCGCCCUGCAUGAAGUUGGAAUUGCUAGUAAUCGCGGAUCAGCAUGCCGCGGUGAAUACGUUCCCUGGCCUUGUACACACCGCCCGUCACACCAUGGGAGCCGGUAAUACCCGAAGUCAGUAGCCUAACCGCAAGGGGGGCGCUGCCGAAGGUAGGAUUGGCGACUGGGGUGAAGUCGUAACAAGGUAAC
rnacentral:rRNA from 1 species